CGAACGGGUGAGUAAUACAUCGGAACGUGUCCGCUCGUGGGGGACAACCAGCCGAAAGGUUGGCUAAUACCGCAUGAGUUCUACGGAAGAAAGAGGGGGACCCGCAAGGGCCUCUCGCGAGCGGAGCGGCCGAUGACUGAUUAGCCGGUUGGUGAGGUAACGGCUCACCAAAGCAACGAUCAGUAGCUGGUCUGAGAGGACGACCAGCCACACUGGGACUGAGACACGGCCCAGACUCCUACGGAAGGCAGCAG
rnacentral:rRNA from 1 species